rnacentral:rRNA from 1 species
UACGUAGGGGGCUAGCGUUGUCCGGAAUCAUUGGGCGUAAAGAGCUCGUAGGCGGCACGGUUAGUCAGGUGUGAAAUCUCCACGCUCAACGUGGAGGGGUCACCUGAUACUGCCGAGCUUGAGUCCGGUAGGGGAGUGUGGAAUUCCCGGUGUAGAGGUGAAAUUCGUAGAUAUCGGGAGGAACACCGGUGGCGAAGGCGGCGACCUGGGUAGAUACUGACGCUGAGGUGCGAAAGCGUGGGGAGCAAACAGG